rnacentral:rRNA from 1 species
UACGGGGGGGGCAAGCGUUGUUCGGAAUUACUGGGCGUAAAGGGCUCGUAGGCGGCCAACUAAGUCAGACGUGAAAUCCCUCGGCUCAACCGGGGAACUGCGUCUGAUACUGGAUGGCUCGAGUUUGGGAGAGGGAUGCGGAAUUCCAGGUGUAGCGGUGAAAUGCGUAGAUAUCUGGAGGAACACCGGUGGCGAAGGCGGCAUCCUGGACCAACACUGACGCUCAGGAGCGAAAGCCAGGGGAGCAAACGGG